AAAGGAAUAGACGGGGGCCCGCACAAGCGGUGGAGCAUGUGGUUCAAUUCGAAGCAACGCGCAGAACCUUACCUGGGCUUGACAUGUUGGAGAACCCUCCGGAAACGGAGGGGUGCCCUUCGGGGAGCUCCUUCACAGGUGCUGCAUGGCUGUCGUCAGCUCGUGUCGUGAGGUGUUGGGUUAAGUCCCGCAACGAGCGCAACCCCUGUCACUAGUUGCCAACGGAUCAAGCCGGGCACUCUAGUGAGACUGCCGGUGUUAAGCCGGAGGAAGGUGGGGACGACGUCAAGUCCUCAUGGCCCUUAUGCCCAGGGCUACACACGUGCUACAAUGGUCGGUACAGAGGGCUGCCAACCCGCGAGGGGGAGCAAAUCCCAAAAAGCCGACCUCAGUUCGGAUUGGAGUCUGCAAUUCGACUCCAUGAAGGCGGAAUCGCUAGUAAUCGCGGAUCAGCACGCCGCGGUGAAUACGUUCCCGGGCCUUGUACACACCGCCCGU
rnacentral:rRNA from 1 species